UGUGGAUACGGAUUGAGGAUUUUAUCCAGUUUCUCUGUCUAUAAACAAGAGAUUUUUUUCCAGCCUAAUCUGAGGUCAAGAGAAGAGGUGGUUGCCCCUGCCUUGCAAGCACGGGGCUUCGCUUCAGCAUCUCAGCACGUUUGAUUGAUGGUCACCAGAUGCUCUGAACUUGUCCUGGUUGCUCUGACCUGUCCUUGCCCUCCACAGUGCAGCUUCUUUUGACGUCUUCAGAUUCAGAGCCAUUUCCUCUGU